AGCAGAAUAGCUUAGUGGAAAGAGCACUGGCUUGGGAGUCAGAGAUCGUGGGUUCUAAUCCCAGCCCUGCCA
rnacentral:tRNA from 1 species